rnacentral:rRNA from 1 species
CCGCGUGAGGUAUGAAGGCCUUUGGGUGAGCCUCUGUGCCUAGGGGAAGAAAAAAAUGGACGGUACCCGAGGAGGAAGCCCCGGCUAACUACGUGCCAGCAGCCGCGGUAAUACGUAGGGGGCAAGCGUUAUCCGGAAUUAUUGGGCGUAAAGAGUGCGUAGGUGGUCUACUAAGCGCGAGGUGAAAGGCAAUGGCUCAACCAUUGUUAGCCUUGCGAACUGGCAGACUUGAGUGCAAGAGAGGAAAGCGGAAUUCCUAGUGUAGCGGAGAAAUGCGCAGAUAUUAGGAGGAACACCGGCGGCGAAGGCGGCUUUCUGGAUUGUAACUGACACUGAGGCACGAAAGCGUGGGUAGCAAACAGGAUUAGAUACCCCUGGUAGUCCACGCCGUAAACGAUGAGCACUAGGUGUCGGGGACAUGAGUCUCGGUGCCGCAGUUAACGCAAUAAGUGCUCCGCCUGGGGAGUACGCACGCAAGUGUAAAACUCAAAGGAAUUGACGGGGACC